AGGACAAACGCUGGCGGUGUACCUAAGACAUGCAAGUCGAACGAGAGGAUCAGCUUCGGUUGGUCGUUGAGUGGCGAACGGGUGAGUAACACGUAGGAACCUGACAUUGAGUGGGGGAUAACGCCGGGAAACUGGCGCUAAUACCGCAUGUGAUCCGGAAGGAAGAAAGCAGCGAUGCGCUCGAUGAGGGGCCUGCGGCCGAUUAGCUAGUUGGUGGGGUAAAGGCCUACCAAGGCAUCGAUCGGUAGCUGGU
rnacentral:rRNA from 1 species